rnacentral:misc_RNA from 1 species
UACGUAGGGUGCAAGCGUUAUCCGGAAUCAUUGGGUUUAAAGGGUCCGUAGAUGGAUGGUUAAGUCAGAGGUGAAAUCCUGCAGCUCAACUGUAGAAUUGCCUAUGAUACUGGCUUUCUUGAAUCAAUGUGAAGUGGUUAGAAUAUGUAGUGUAGCGGUGAAAUGCAUAGAUAUUACAUAGAAUACCAAUUGCGAAGGCAGAUCACUAACAUUGCAUUGACACUGAUGGACGAAAGCGUGGAGAGCGAACAGG